AUACUUGGGUGGGAUUCUGGUGCGAUAAUAUUGGACGGCGUUUACUGUUUAAAUAUUUAUAUUAUCGUUACCUAUAAUAUUUCAAAAUCGUUUACUCAUUUGUCGUUAGUCGUUCUUCGUCGACACUCGUUACUAUAAAUAAUAAAUUUAAUUAGAUCGCAAACCGCCGACGUAGUAGAGUUAUUGGUGCGGACAAUGUACAGGUCGUAUGAUUAGGUAUAUUAUGCAUAUUACGCCGCGUAUAAGGUAUAUACUAGUUGUGCGUACCUAUACGAUAUUACAACGGCGAAAGCGCGAAAGGUCGACCGCGGUUGCUUAUAGCGGCGAUUGGGAGGGGGCGACUUUCACGCAUUAUAUUUCGUUCGCUUUUGAUACAGACCCAGUUAAUAGAUUUGUGACUUGUUCGGUGCUAUUAUGUGUAUCGUCCACUCCGACGUAAUCGUGAUUAUCAAUGUAGAAUUUUGCCUUUGGUCGAUACAAUCCGAUAAUUUUUCAAUAUUUCAAAAACAAUAGCAUAAUAAAGGUGAAGUAAUUGGGGUAGCUUCAAGGAUUUAUUUGGUGUGUCAAAACUCAAUACGUUCUGGGUUAUUUCAUAAUAGCGUCAUCCGGUCCAUCAUAGUCGACGAUGUUAUUGUUUUUUUUUUCCAAAAAUGGUCGUGCAAAAAUUCUUUUAUAUCCGGUUUCCAGACUCCACGAUCGGAGCGGGACAUACCGGACGUGCAUCAUGCUAACAUCCCCAUAAUAGGUUUUAUUACCUAGAUAUGUGUGAACAUAUUGGUGAAAAUAGGAAGGAGUAGUUACUAUUGCAUCGAAUACUUGGUCCUCCAAAAAUAUUCGUCUCCGUGUCGAAUAUAUAUAAUGUACCUUGCAAGUUACAAUACGGCAAUUAAUAUUCUUUGUUGUAAUUAUGUUUUAUUUAUUAUUUUCUAUAAUAUAUUGUUUUGCGAGGCAUAUGUGUCCACCGCCUACCUUUAUGGCUUUGGAUAUUUGCGUCCAGUAGUGGUUUUUAUCCAUUUACUAUAAUAUGUAAUAUGUGUUUCGAACUUUUUUCAUUUUUUUUUCAAUUCCAAAUAUAAAAGUUGAAAAUGUAUGUGCAUCUAUAUCAAUAUACUUGAGUUAUAGACGAUAUAGUAUAGCCGUCACUGUUUGCGUCUUUAGCGUUUACAGAGUUUGAACAUUUUGACAUACAUUUUAUUCCACCGAAGUAAGUUUAUAUAAACACCGCUUUGUUUAAUAUAAUAUAUAUUUAUUGUAGUAUAUAACAUAUAAUACGUUCGUUUUUUUAUGUAUUCUUGUAUAUAAAUAUGAACCUUAAUUUUUUAACAAUGUCACUCGAUUCAACGGUUAUGUCAAGGUUAUGAAGUGAAAGAUAAC